rnacentral:rRNA from 1 species
GAAGCUUGACGCAGCGACGCGCGUGUAGGAUGAGCCCUUCGGGGGUGGUAACUACUGUCAGGACUAGAAAGUGCGCUUCGGCGCAUUGAUCAGGUCCAGAGGAAGUCACGGCUAACUUCGUGCCAGCAGCCGCGGUAAGACGAAGGUGGCAAGCGUUGUUCGGAAUCACUGGGCUUAAAGCGUGUGUAGGCGGAAUAGUAAGCGUUUUGUGAAAUCCCUCGGCUUAACCGAGGAAUUGCUUGGCGAACUGCUAUUCUUGAGGCAAGCAGGGGUGCGUGGAACUCUUGGUGGAGCGGUGGAAUGCGUAGAUAUCAAGAGGAACGCCAGCGGAGAAGUCGGCGCACUAGACUUGUCCUGACGCUGAGACACGAAAGCGUGGGGAGCGAACGGGAUUAGAUACCCCGGUAGUCCACGCCGUAAACGAUGCCUACUAGGUUACGGGAAUUCUGACAUUUUCGGAACCGAAGCAAAAGUGUUAAGUAGGCCGCCUGGGGAGUACGGUCGCAAGGCUAAAACUCAAAGGAAUUGACGGGGGCUCACACAAGCGGUGGAGCAUGUGGAUUAAUUCGAAGCAACGCGCGGAACCUUACCUGGGUUUGACAUGCUUGGAUGCCCAUCUGGAAACGGAGUAGGCUGCCCUUCGGGGUGAAACUUGCACAGGUGCUGCAUGGCUGUCGUCAGCUCGUGUCGUGAGAUGUCGGGUUAAGUCCUUUAACGAGCGAAACCCUUGCCGUUAGUUGCCAGCGGGUCAUGCCGGGGACUCUAGCGGGACUGCCGGUGUUAAACCGGAGGAAGGCGGGGAUGACGUCAAGUCCUCAUGGCCUUUAUGCCCAGGGCCUCACACGUGCUACAAUGGUGACCACAGAGCGACGCGAGACCGCGAGGUGGAGCAAAUCGCAAAAAGGUCAUCUCAGUCCGGACUGCAGGCUGGCAAUUCGCCUGCAUGAAGUUGGAAUCGCUAGUAAUCGCGUAUCAGCUAUGACGCGGUGAAUGUGUUCCUGAGCCUUGUACACACCGCCCGUCAAGUGAUGGAAGUCGGAAGUACCCUAAGUCGGGUUGCUAACCUUUUAGGAGGCGCCU